rnacentral:lncRNA from 1 species
GUGGAAGAGUCUGGUGGUGUGAGCGGGUGUGCAACGGGUGUGCAUGUGGGUGUGCAAAUGUCUGUGCAUCCGUAUACACAAAUAGAAAACUUCUUUUUUUGCCAGCAGAAAAGUAACUGGAGUGAACAUGAACAAAUGAUCCCCACCUUGAGAGAACCGGUAACGUAGGAGACGAGAGGCUCUACCCCCUCUUAGUCUGUAUCCCUGUAUAUUCCUUUUUUAGUUUAGGGAUUUAAGGAAAAAAAUAAAAAGGAAACUGUGAUGUUAGGAGAAAGCAAUCGUCCUGUACGUGCUGUUAGGUUUUAAACUUCACCGUUAGAAGUGUGUAAUGCUUUAGUAAGCAGUGAGAAGUCCGUGUCCUGUGUAUCCGUAGUCCUUGUAGCAGUGGGUAGUAUCUGCACUCUGGAUAAAGCAGGGAGAAUUCUGACUUCGUCUCUUCAGUGCCUUAUCACAAAGUGCAUCGACCGAGGGGCGGCCGCCGGCAGCCCGGGCGCGGAGCUCGUGCACGAGCAGCGCCAGGAAUGGCCUUAGCGGGAGAAGCGGGAGCUCCAGGAAUGGCCUUAGCAGGAGCAGCGGGAGCAGGGCCGGGGGCUGGGGAUGGAGCUGGGAAAUGACCUCGCCAUUUCACAGACAGGGGUAGAAAACAGGAGGAGGAAAGUGCCUGGAUGAACAUCAGCUAAAUCCUGUUUCCCGUAGUCAAACUUCAGCGAGUGAGGACUGGAGGGUCAUAACCUUAGCGUGAGGGGUUCAGAGGUUGUACUUAGAGUAGUUACGCUCUAUCCUUAGUCCAGUCUGCAACCGGGUGUUGCUGAGCCAUUGAUGCCACAUAGGAACCAAAUUUUCAGGAAAGGAUUGGGGCCUCCGAGGCAGCGGGAGGCUCCGGGGUGCUGAUGAAAGGCUGUGUGUAUGGAAAUACCCCACCUCCCAACUAACGUGCAUAACAGCAUAGAGUCAGCGAUGUGUCAUUAUUCUAUUUUGUAUAUUAAACAAGAGAUAUAUACUGGGGACAAAUCCUAUAUCGUACCGGUGUAUGGCAUUAUUAAAAAAAGAAUCAUUAUUUUUAUCACAGUAAUUUUAAAACAGCAUAAAGGAAAUUAAACCAGUGACUCCUGUUUAAAAAUAAAAGUUGUAGUUUUUUAUUCAUGCUGAAUAAUUCUGUAGUAACAAGUCUGUAGUUUUCACCUACUCAGUGAACUGUUGGACUGUAAAAGCUUGUGUGGAAUUGUUGAACAUUUAUUUUUUCAUUUAAAUUUGCUGUUCUGGUAAUACAAAGCCACACAUCUGUACAGAAGUUGCAGUAAAUGUGAGCCAUUUACAGCAAUGCCGAAUAAUGGACAGAAACCAUAUAAUAAAAUUCUGCUUUUUUCAUUAAA